AUUGAACGCUGGCGGCAGGCUUAACACAUGCAAGUCGAGCGGAGAUGAGGUGCUUGCACCUUAUCUUAGCGGCGGACGGGUGAGUAAUGCUUAGGAAUCUGCCUAUUAGUGGGGGACAACAUUCCGAAAGGAAUGCUAAUACCGCAUACGUCCUACGGGAGAAAGCAGGGGAUCUUCGGACCUUGCGCUAAUAGAUGAGCCUAAGUCGGAUUAGCUAGGUGGUGGGGUAAAGGCCUACCAAGGCGACGAUCUGUAGCGGGUCUGAGAGGAUGAUCCGCCACACUGGGACUGAGACACGGCCCAGACUCCUACGGGAGGCAGCAGUGGGGAAUAUUGGACAAUGGGGGAAACCCUGAUCCAGCCAUGCCGCGUGUGUGAAGAAGGCCUUAUGGUUGUAAAGCACUUUAAGCGAGGAGGAGGCUACUGAGACUAAUACUCUUGGAUAGUGGACGUUACUCGCAGAAUAAGCACCGGCUAACUCUGUGCCAGCAGCCGCAGUAA
rnacentral:rRNA from 1 species